UGGGGAAUAUUGCACAAUGGGCGCAAGCCUGAUGCAGCCAUGCCGCGUGUGUGAAGAAGGCCUUCGGGUUGUAAAGCACUUUCAGCGAGGAGGAAGGUGGUGGACUUAAUACGUUCAUCAAUUGACGUUACUCGCAGAAGAAGCACCGGCUAACUCCGUGCCAGCAGCCGCGGUAAUACGGAGGGUGCAGGCGUUAAUCGGAAUUACUGGGCGUAAAAGCGCACGCAGGCGGUUUGUUAAGUCAGAUGUGAAAUCCCCGGGCUCAACCUGGGAACUGCAUUUGAAACUGGCAAGCUAGAGUCUCGUAGAGGGGGGUAGAAAUUCCAGGUGUAGCGGUGAAAUGCGUAGAGAUCUGGAGGAAUACCGGUGGCGAAGGCGGCCCCCCUGGACGAAGACUGACGCUCAGGUGCGAAAAGCGUGGGGAGCAAAACAGGAUUAGAUACCCUGGUAGUCCACGCUGUAAAACGAUGUCGAUUUUGGAGGUUGUGCCCUUGAGGCGUGGCUUCCGGAGCUAACGCGUUAAAUCGACCGCCU
rnacentral:rRNA from 1 species